AAUCGCUGUGAUGACUCGAUAAAGUUCAAGCUCAACAGACUGGAUCGUCAGAGGCUAUACGGCCUUUGAGUGUCGAUUCUUCCUUCUUUCCUGAGGGAUU
rnacentral:snoRNA from 1 species